AUUGAACGCUGGCGGCAGGCCUAACACAUGCAAGUCGAGCGGAUGACGGGAGCUUGCUCCUUGAUUCAGCGGCGGACGGGUGAGUAAUGCCUAGGAAUCUGCCUGGUAGUGGGGGACAACGUUUCGAAAGGAACGCUAAUACCGCAUACGUCCUACGGGAGAAAGCAGGGGACCUUCGGGCCUUGCGCUAUCAGAUGAGCCUAGGUCGGAUUAGCUAGUUGGUGGGGUAAUGGCUCACCAAGGCGACGAUCCGUAACUGGUCUGAGAGGAUGAUCAGUCACACUGGAACUGAGACACGGUCCAGACUCCUACGGGAGGCAGCAGUGGGGAAUAUUGGACAAUGGGCGAAAGCCUGAUCCAGCCAUGCCGCGUGUGUGAAGAAGGUCUUCGGAUUGUAAAGCACUUUAAGUUGGGAGGAAGGGCAGUAAGCUAAUACCUUGCUGUUUUGACGUUACCGACAGAAUAAGCACCGGCUAACUCUGUGCCAGCAGCCGCCGUAACAC
rnacentral:rRNA from 1 species